rnacentral:tRNA from 2 species
GCAGCGGUAGUUCAGUUGGUUAGAAUACCGGCCUGUCACGCCGGGGGUCGCGGGUUCGAGCCCCGUCCACUGCGCCA